rnacentral:rRNA from 1 species
AGUGAACGCUGGCGGUAGGCCUAACACAUGCAAGUCGAACGGCAGCACAGUAAGAGCUUGCUCUUACGGGUGGCGAGUGGCGGACGGGUGAGGAAUACAUCGGAAUCUACUUUUUCGUGGGGAUAACGUAGGGAAACUUACGCUAAUACCGCAUACGACCUACGGGUGAAAGCAGGGGAUCUUCGGACCUUGCGCGAUUGAAUGAGCCGAUGUCGGAUUAGCUAGUUGGCGGGGUAAAGGCCCACCAAGGCGACGAUCCGUAGCUGGUCUGAGAGGAUGAUCAGCCACACUGGAACUGAGACACGGUCCAGACUCCUACGGGAGGCAGCAGUGGGGAAUAUUGGACAAAGGGCGCAAGCCUGAUCCAGCCAUACCGCGUGAGUGAAGAAGGCCUUCGGGUUGUAAAGCCCUUUUGUUGGGAAAGAAAAGCAGCAGGUUAAUCCCCCGCUGUUCUGACGGUACCCAAAGAAUAAGCACCGGCUAACUUCGUG